UGAUAACAUUGUAGACCUUCCAGUUGUUCUACUUGUCAUAUUGGUAGUUUUUAACUGCACACAAAAUCUUUCUCCUCCCUUGAAGUGUUGCCACUAACCCACUCAAAAUUGGCAUACCCCCUGUGAAGAAAAUGGCAGUGACGCCUUUAAGGAAUGGCGUCGCUGGAAAGGAAACUACACACCCCAGAAGGCUCAGUGUCAAUUGGUAGGACAGGGUUACACAGUUUAAAAGGAAGCAGAGCAGAACAAUCGGGGUGUUGUGUGAUUGUGGGGAACACUGUUCGAUUGUCCUGCCUGCGCAAGCUUUGGGGAAUCUAUCCUAUCUUCCUGUUGUCUGUGGGAAAGCUAUAAUGCAGCGUCUCAGUCAACCCUGAAAGUCACCCAGUGGCCCCCGGUUGCUGUAGUGAGCCUGCGCCAGUCUGUAGAGAUGAAUUGCAACCAGAGUGCUUCUAAUGCCUACAUGUACUGGUAUCGACAGCAAAACUCCAGUGAGCUUCAACUGGUCUUUUAUUCUUCAUACGGCAGCGAUCCAGAAAAGGGUGAAAACAUCUCUGAUAGAUUUACUGUCUCCAGGACACAGUUGGAUAGAAUCACUCUAAAUAUAAAGAAUGCUGAUGCUGCAGACACUGGAGUGUAUUACUGUGCAGCUAGUGGCACAGUACACAAACCUAUCAGUCUUCCUGUCUGAAAACCCUACAAGGGGGCAGACAAGAGACAGAAACACAACAUGCAGCAACACACAAUAAUACUCAAUAUUGUGUCUGUUUAGAAAAUGCUUCCCUCAUGUAACUUUGGUGUUCACUUGAUAACAUUGUAGACCUUCCAGUUGUUCUACUUGUCAUAUUGGUAGUUUUAAACUGCUGUGAAAGAAUUGCACCUCUCCACGGUUCAUUGCCCCUUUAAAACACUGACCAAACACACACAAAUGGAUUUUUUAAAGCACGGUUACGCCAUUUUUAAUGGAAACACACAAAAAUAAACAAAAAUAAACACCUAGCUCUUCUUUGAGCAAUAACUAAAACAAAACAGGAACCUAAACUAAAAACAGGACAGCUAAGCUGUUUACCUGUAACAGAACAAAACAAACAAAACAGAACACACAAAACAGGCUUCUCUACCUUUUUCCUUUUAAAUUACAGCUGUACCCACACACCACCACAAUCAGGCAUCUACCCUCUUCAGCAGCUGCCCAAAGCAGACUAACUGCUCUCCUUAUAAACCCUGCACCUGGCUCUAAUUUUCAAUCAUAGCCAGGUGCAGGUGAUAAUUAACAAUUAAACAAUUAACAAAACAAUCAAACAAUUAACAAAACAAACCAAAAUGUACCUUACGCACAUGUUUUUCUGCAGGGAGGUUUUAACCCCCUCCCUGCUGUCUCACACUGCACACAAAAUCUUUCUCCUCCCUGAAGAAGUGUUGCCACUAAACCACUCAAAAUGGGCAUACCCCCUGUGAAGAAAAUGGCAGUGACGCCUUUAAGGAAUGGCGUCACUGGAAAGGAAACUACACGUCCCAGAAGGCUCAGUGUCAAUUGGUAGGGCGGGGUUACACAGUUUAAAAGGAAGCAGAGCAGAACAAUCGGGGUGUUGUGUGAUUGUGGGGAACACUGCCCGAUUGUCCUGCCUGCGCAAGCUUUGGGGAAUCUAUCCUAUCUUCCUGUGUCUGUGUGAAAGCUCUAACGCAGCGUCUCAGUCAACCCUGAAAGUCACUCAGUGGCCCCCGGUUGCUGUAGUGAGCCUGCGCCAGUCUGUAGAGAUGAAUUGCAAUCAGAGUGCUUCUAAUACCUACAUGUACUGGUAUCGACAGCAAAACUCCAGUGAGCUUCAACUGGUCUUUAGCACUGCAAACACAGCAGAUGUUAAAGAAAAGGGUGAAAACAUCCCUGAUAGAUUUACUGUCUCCAGGACACAGGUGGAGAGAACAGCUAUAAAUAUCAAGAAUGCUGAUGCUGCAGACACUGGAGUGUAUUACUGUGCAGCUAGUGCCACAGUACACAAACCUAUCAGUCUUCCUGUCUGAAAACUCUACAAGGGGGCAGACAAGAGACAGAAACUCAACAUGCAGCAACACACAAUAAUACUCAAUACUGUGAUUGUUUAGAAAAUGCUUCCAUCAUUUAACUUUGAUGUUCACUUGAUAACAUUGUAGACCUUCCAGUUGUUCUACAUACCAUAUUGGUAGUUUUUAACUGCACACAAAAUCUUUCUCCUCCUUGAAGAAGCGUUGCCACUAACCCACUCAGAAUGGACAUACCCACUGUGAAGAAAAUGGCAGUGACGCCUUUAAGGAAUGGCGUCGCUGGAAAGGAAACUACACGUCCCAGAAGGCUCAGUGUCAAUUGGUAGGGCGGGGUUACACAGUUUAAAAGGAAGCAGAGCAGAACAAUCUGGGUGUUCUGUGAUUGUGGGGAACACUGCCCGAUUGUCCUGCCUGCGCAAGCUUUGGGGAAUCUAUCCUUUCUUCCUGUGUCUGUGGGAAAGCUAUAACGCAGCGUCUCAGUCAACCCUGAAAGUCACCCAGUGGCCACCGGUUGCUGUAGUGAGCCUGCGCGAGUCUGUAGAGAUGAAUUGCAACCAGAGUGCUGCUAAUACCUACAUGUACUGGUAUCGACAGCAAAACUCCAGUGAGCUUCAACUGGUCUUUUAUUCUUUAUACGGCAGCGAUCCAGAAAAGGGUGAAAGAAUCCCUGAUAGAUCUACUGUCUCCAGGACACAGUUGGAUAGAACAUCUCUAAAUAUAAAGAAUGCUGAGGCUGCAGACACUGGAGUGUAUUACUGUGCAGCUAGUGUCACAGUACACAA